GACGAACGCUGGCGGCGUGCUUAACACAUGCAAGUCGAACGGAAAGGCCCUGCUUUUGUGGGGUGCUCGAGUGGCGAACGGGUGAGUAACACGUGAGUAACCUGCCCUUGACUUUGGGAUAACUUCAGGAAACUGGGGCUAAUACCGGAUAGGAGCUCCUGCUGCAUGGUGGGGGUUGGAAAGUUUCGGCGGUUGGGGAUGGACUCGCGGCUUAUCAGCUUGUUGGUGGGGUAGUGGCUUACCAAGGCUUUGACGGGUAGCCGGCCUGAGAGGGUGACCGGCCACAUUGGGACUGAGAUACGGCCCAGACUCCUACGGGAGGCAGCAGUGGGGAAUAUUGCACAAUGGGCGGAAGCCUGAUGCAGCAACGCCGCGUGCGGGAUGACGGCCUUCGGGUUGUAAACCGCUUUCGCCUGUGACGAAGCGUGAGUGACGGUAAUGGGUAAAGAAGCACCGGCUAACUACGUGCCAGCAGCCGCGGUGAUACGUAGGGUGCGAGCGUUGUCCGGAUUUAUUGGGCGUAAAGGGCUCGUAGGUGGUUGAUCGCGUCGGAAGUGUAAUCUCGGGGCUUAACCCUGAGCGUGCUUUCGAUACGGGUUGACUUGAGGAAGGUAGGGGAGAAUGGAAUUCCUGGUGGAGCGGUGGAAUGCGCAGAUAUCAGGAGGAACACCAGUGGCGAAGGCGGUUCUCUGGGCCUUUCCUGACGCUGAGGAGCGAAAGCGUGGGGAGCGAACAGGCUUAGAUACCCUGGUAGUCCACGCUGUAAACGGUGGGUACUAGGUGUGGGGUCCAUUCCACGGGUUCCGUGCCGUAGCUAACGCUUUAAGUACCCCGCCUGGGGAGUACGGCCGCAAGGCUAAAGCUCAAAGGAAUUGACGGGGCCCCGCACAAGCGGCGGAGCAUGCGGAUUAAUUCGAUGCAACGCGUAGAACCUUACCUGGGUUUGACAUGGAUCGGGAGUGCUCAGAGAUGGGUGUGCCUCUUUUGGGGUCGGUUCACAGGUGGUGCAUGGCUGUCGUCAGCUCGUGUCGUGAGAUGUUGGGUUAAGUCCCGCAACGAGCGCAACCCUUGUUCACUGUUGCCAGCACGUUAUGGUGGGGACUCAGUGGAGACCGCCGGGGUCAACUCGGAGGAAGGUGGGGAUGACGUCAAGUCAUCAUGCCCCUUAUGUCCAGGGCUUCACGCAUGCUACAAUGGCUGGUACAGAGAGUGGCGAGCCUGUGAGGGUGAGCGAAUCUCGGAAAGCCGGUCUCAGUUCGGAUUGGGGUCUGCAACUCGACCUCAUGAAGUCGGAGUCGCUAGUAAUCGCAGAUCAGCAACGCUGCGGUGAAUACGUUCCCGGGGCU
rnacentral:rRNA from 1 species